ensembl:lncRNA
UUUGCACAAUACUUUAUUAGUAGUUUAAAAUUGUAUGCAUUGAGGAAAAUAAAAACAAAAAUUCAAACUGCGAUCUGUUACAAUACAUGACUUCGGUCUAUAACUCCCAUUUCCAGUUCAACACAACGUCAAGGAAAUACAUAAAAUGACUUUUAAAAUGUUUUCUUAUUUCUUAUUGAUUGUUACACUAGUUUAGAAUGAUAAAAAAUAUAAUACUCGAUCAUUAGUGUUAUAUUAAUCUAGAGGAAAAAUGCAAAAAGAGAGCAUUAAUACAGAGCUGUAACACAAAACCGAAACGCCUCAGGUUACAUAAGUUUUACUAUGAUUAUACAGUGCCAUGAACAAAACAAGUAUAGGCUAUACUACCACUAGCAGCUGCAGUUGCACAUUAACAGUCUCGGGGAUAAAGGGGUUAAAACACUAAACCUAUUCAUGCCAAGCCAGGAUGGCAUGAAUUGCACUUCUAUCUUGAAAAAGCCACUGAGAUCAAGGGAAAUCCCAAUAUAUGUCAAAAGAAACAACAAUGUUGCCUAAAAGAGUAACACCUAAGAGUUUCUGAAACCCAAAACAAAGGAAAACUGUUGUGAGUUGUGUUGAGGCUCUAUAUGAAGAAGACCGUCGUCUCUGUCCUGAUUUCAGCACUGGACAGCGUCUGUACAGACUUUAUACAAGAGAACUGUCCUUUAACUUCAAUAUAAACUCUGAAAUACUGGCAGCAGGUCCAUAAUUUGUCCAUGGCGUUCCUCUUGGUGGCACAACGAUAUGAAGAAGAGUGGAUGAGACAAUACGCAUGUACAGAUGCUGGGCCUGUGUCCUAAAGAAACGCUAAUGGCAUGUCUAUCAUAAUUUGUAGACAAUCCCAAUGGGAUCAAACAAAAUCCUACAGGAUUAACUGAAAUUCUGAAAAAACAUUGACUAAAAGAGGCUUGAGAAAAACAACAGACAUCUCAGUUCAUCCAGAAGGAUGCUCUUUGAUUCUUAGAGGACUCAGUUUCAAUAAAAUACUUCUGCAUUUUUUCAUAGAGGCCGUUUUUCUUCUUCUUCUUCCCCACAUUAUGCUCUAAAUUAUAAUAUAAAUGGACUGACUAAUCGAUGUCCUUUUCCCCCAGAAUUUUAAUUCUAUGUAUGAUCUUAUUUGAUUAAUAGAGUAUUCCUGUUUAGUCCCAUUUGCAUAGCAUCUGAAUUAUGAUAGAAAUCCCAUUAAUAUUCAGUAAUAUCCUUUUAGAUUAAUUCAUUGAUUUUUCCUUCCAAGGAUUUUUUUUUAAUCAAAAUCAAUAAAAUGAUGAAAAUUCAAUUAAAUCCUAGUGGAUUAACUGAUUAAUGUAUUUUUCCCAGAAUUCAGGAGUUUAUUUGAUUCAUCAAGGGUUUCUGUUGGAUCUCAUAUGCAUUGUGAUAAUUAUGACAGAAAUUCCAUAAAUAUUCAAUAAAAUCCUGUUAGAUUAACUCAUGAAUGCCUUUUCCAGUAGGAUCAUAUAUGCCAUACUCUCCUAUUUGAUCCUAUUAUAAAACCGGCAUGGAAUUAUGAUAGAAAUUCCAUUCAUAUUUAGGAAGAUCCUUUUAGAUUAAUUAUUUCUCCCCCCAAUAAUUUUCUUUCUUGUUAUUAUUUUAUUUUUAUGAGAUUCUCAUUUAUUCCUCUUAGAUCAAUUCCUUCUCAUUUCAUUUUAUCCAGUAGGAUCUUACUCAAUGCUCUCUUAGUUCGAACCCGUUAGGAUUGGCUCACAAUUACGAUAGAAAUUCCAUGAGCAGUCCUCAGUCUCCCUCGGUCCUUCUCAAAAACCACUGAAACCCGUUCCUAGAUUUCUUCCACGAACUCUAAUGCUUAUACAAAGAAUCGAUAUAUUCCGUAGGUGAUAUCAUAGGGAAUACAGAGGUUAUUUACAGCGUCCUCCGAAGGCUGGCACUGCGUUAUCAAGACACAGCGACCGAUUCCAACAAGUCCUCAUCCUUGGUCUGUCCCGAGUGUCCCUUGUCCUCUGUCACGCCAGGAUCCUCCGUGUUUGGAUCACUUUUGCGCACUGCCGCGGGGGGUCUCACCAUGAUGCACUGCCGGACCACCGGCUUGCCUUUGGCCGUUUUGGGACUGCAGUUGUCGCGCUCGUAUUCCUCCUGGGCUUUCUGUAUCUUGCGCUUUUUCAUCUUGCUUUUGUGAAAGUGGAAGGUCGUGACGGACACGAUUAUUAUCCCAACGAUCAUCGCGAUGAGCACGAAAAGCACGACGGUGGAGGAGAACGCCUGGAACAGCUGAUCCACCCGAUCAAAGCAGGUGCCAUUGCCGGCCAGAGCGGUUCCGUUUAAGGCACAGUGGGGAACGGAAAGCGCCAGUCUCUCCGAGGUCCUGGCACUCAUUUAGUCCGGUUCAGGCAGUGUCUGUAUUGCAGGGAAGAAUCGAGGAGACUGAAAGCGAACGGAAAUGUCCAGCCCUGCGAAGGCGCGCGCUAUAUUGCAUUCAUUUCUCUGGGGGGAAAUAAGUCCACCUAAAAUAGAUCCAAUGAGGAAUCCAGCGUUAGAAAGGAGCAUGUGCGCAGAAAGAUCAAUUGCAUUUCUAGUCACGUUAGAAACCGUCCUUUAAAACAAUUUCAAUUCCUUACCCACACACACACAAUCUGUUUAAGAACAAAAGCGAUCUGCUUCGCGAGCCUCUGAAGGGCGCGCUCGCCGGUCGCGAACUUUGCGGCGUUUGCGCGCAAACAAUGCCGCGGCGCGUUAUAGCUAUUCUCUCAGCCCGUGCUCCUUUUCCCCAAGCUACUCUUUCACAAUUACAAAACCCAUUCAUUUGCUUCGGCGUGCGUUUCUCAACUGCGGCAUUCCUUCAGAUCAGCCAGCAGCAGGGCUGAGGAAAAUAACCCAUAAACAGGGAUAACUAGAGAUAACUCGCUUAAUCAAUCAAAUGAGCAUGCGAAGAUCUACAUGAAAACCGGUAGUUUACCUGCCUCUACUGUGAAAUGUCGCUGCUCCGGAGGCGAAGACCGAUCGUGGUUGCAAAUUGUGGAGGAAAAGGAGCGGAAUCCAGCCAAUCGCUGCAGCUCGCAAUGACGUAUCGCCUUGGAUAAACCAAACGCUCCAGAGCCUCAUUCAGACAUACAGAUGGAGGGCCACCAGAGCAGCUUUAGCAGGAACCUCUGGAACCAGGGAGGUUGAGAGAGAAGCUCUGGGACUGGAGCAGCUUGAUCACCAGAUCUUCCUGAGGCUAUGAAAGGAAACACUGGGGCAGCCUUGGCUGGAGUUUCUUUGGCAGCAUGAAUCUCUGCACCGCCAUGAGAGGAACCUUUGUGGUGGGCAACAGUGUGACCCGGAUGGUCAUGCAGCUGGAGCUCCAUGUUCUAAGGUUUCAGCAGCAAGAACUGGAACAGGAAGCUCUGGGACCAAGGUUGCUCUGAAAAGGCAUACUGUCAAGUGACCUCUUUGGUGCCUGUCACUCUGACCUCUCUUAUCUCAGUAGGUUCUGGAGCAGCAGCAUCAGGAUUGUUUAGGGUGGCUUUCACAGUGAUUUCUGGAGCCACUAUGACAGAAUCCAUGAGAGCCGUUUGCCUGUGGCAGGAAGCGGCAGUUUGAGGGACCUCUGGGACCAGCAGAGGUGUGAAAUGGGCAUCCUGGGACUUUCAAGUCGGGACCCUCUCUGGAGCCUCAGCAGGUUCUUGAGCAGUGACAUGAACCUUUAUGGCAGCCUUAACAUGCCUUUCUGGCGCGGCCCUGACAAGAUCUCUCAACCCAAGGCAGCUGAGAAAGGGGGAUCUGUGGCCAUGACUGAGUGCUCUCAUGCAUCUGUGACAUGGAUCUCUGGGAUCCAGACACCAG